ACAGUGCCUACGUCAUUCCCCUCACUUGGUCACGUAGGCAUUCUAUCAUCUCACAGCGUCAUAAGGAAGCCUUGCGAGACCCUGAACGGAGAAACUAGCAGAGAUCACCAGGACUUCUCAGCUCCAGGACUAAAGAUUAUUUGGAAAUUGAACAGAGAAUGAAGGAGUGGCCAGCAUGGUGGCAGACCUCACAAAUAGGAGACCAGUUAGUUUGGAGGCUAUAUUUCCUGAAAUCUUUGGACUUUGAAAGCAUCGUCAUUACUGUUGCUGGAAGGCAAUGCUAGUCUUGACAGAGGACAAUGUGAAGAAAUCA